UAGGGAAUCUUCGGCAAUGGGGGGAACCCUGACCGAGCAACGCCGCGUGAGUGAAGAAGGUUUUCGGAUCGUAAAGUUCUGUUGUUAAGGAAGAACGAGCGUGAGAAUGGAAAGUUCAUGCUGUGACGGUACUUAACCAGAAAGGGACGGCUAACUACGUGCCAGCAGCCGCGGUAAUACGUAGGUCCCGAGCGUUGUCCGGAUUUAUUGGGCGUAAAGCGAGCGCAGGCGGUUAGAAAAGUCUGAAGUGAAAGGCAGUGGCUCAACCAUUGUAGGCUUUGGAAACUGUUUAACUUGGGUGCAGAAGGGGAGAGUGGAAUUCCAUGUGUAGCGGUGAAAUGCGUAGAUAUAUGGAGGAACACCGGUGGCGAAAGCGGCUCUCUGGUCUGUAACUGACGCUGAGGCUCGAAAGCGUGGGGAGCGAACCGG
rnacentral:rRNA from 1 species